CUGGCGGCGUGCUUAACACAUGCAAGUCGAACGAGUACGAUUUAGAAGCUUGCUUUUAUUGAGUCGAGUGGCAAACGGGUGAGUAACGCGUAGACAACCUGCCGCAAAGAUGGGACAACAGUCCGAAAGGACUGCUAAUCCGAAUGUUGUAUCUCCUCCGCAUGGAAGGGAUAUUAAAGAUGGCCUCUACUUGUAAGCUAUCGCUUUGCGAUGGGUCUGCGUCUGAUUAGCUAGUUGGUGGGGCAACGGCCUACCAAGGCGACGAUCAGUAGCCGGUCUGAGAGGAUGAACGGCCACAUUGGAACUGAGACACGGUCCAGACUCCUACGGGAGGCAGCAGUGGGGAAUCUUCCGCAAUGGGCGAAAGCCUGACGGAGCAACGCCGCGUGAGUGAAGAAGGUCUUCGGAUCGUAAAGCUCUGUUGUCGGGGACGAAUGUUGAGACUUAGAACAUAAGUUUCAAAUGACGGUACCUGACGAGGAAGCCACGGCUAACUACGUG
rnacentral:rRNA from 1 species